UACGAACCGUGCGAACGUUGUUCGGAAUCACUGGGCUUAAAGGGCGCGUAGGCGGGCUAUCAAGUCCGGGGUGAAAUCCUCCCGCUCAACGGGAGAACGGCCUCGGAUACUGAUGGUCUCGAGGGGGAUAGGGGCACACGGAACUGUGGGUGGAGCGGUGAAAUGCGUUGAUACCCAUAGGAACUCCGGUGGCGAAGGCGGCAUCCUGGACCGGUAUUGACACUGAGGAGCGAAAGCCAGGGGAGCAAACGGG
rnacentral:rRNA from 1 species